rnacentral:rRNA from 1 species
GACGAACGCUGGCGGCGUGCUUAACACAUGCAAGUCGAACGGAAAGGCCCUGCUUUUGUGGGGUGCUCGAGUGGCGAACGGGUGAGUAACACGUGAGUAACCUGCCCUUGACUUUGGGAUAACUUCAGGAAACUGGGGCUAAUACCGGAUAGGAGCUCCUGCUGCAUGGUGGGGGUUGGAAAGUUUCGGCGGUUGGGGAUGGACUCGCGGCUUAUCAGCUUGUUGGUGUGGUAGUGGCUUACCAAGGCUUUGACGGGUAGCCGGCCUGAUAGGGUGACCGGCCACAUUGGGACUGGGCUACGGCCCAGACUCCUACGGGAGGCAGCAGUGGGGAAUAUUGCACAAUGGGCGGAAGCCUGAUGCAGCAACGCCGCGUGCGGGAUGACGGCCUUCGGGUUGUAAACCGCUUUCGCCUGUGACGAAGCGUGAGUGACGGUAAUGGGUAAAGAAGCACCGGCUAACUACGUG